GGGGAAUUUUGGACAAUGGGCGCAAGCCUGAUCCAGCAAUGCCGCGUGCAGGAUGAAGGCCUUCGGGUUGUAAACUGCUUUUGUACGGAACGAAAAGCCUCUCUCUAAUACAGGGGGGUGAUGACGGUACCGUAAGAAUAAGCACCGGCUAACUCCGUGCCAGCAGCCGCGGUAAUACGGAGGGUGCAAGCGUUAUCCGGAUUUAUUGGGUUUAAAGGGUCCGUAGGCGGAUCUAUAAGUCAGUGGUGAAAGCCGACAGCUUAACUGUCGAACUGCCGUUGAUACUGUAGGUCUUGAGUAAAUUUGAAGUGGCUGGAAUAAGUAGUGUAGCGGUGAAAUGCAUAGAUAUUACUUAGAACACCAAUUGCGAAGGCAGGUCACUAAGAUUUAACUGACGCUGAUGGACGAAAGCGUGGGGAGCGAACA
rnacentral:rRNA from 1 species